rnacentral:tRNA from 1 species
GGUAGCGUGGCCGAGUGGUCUAAGGCGAUGGUUUUAGGCACCAGUCAUUUCGAUGACGUGGGUUCGAAUCCCACCCCUGCCA